rnacentral:lncRNA from 1 species
AACCUCACAAUUUGAAUUUUGUGGGCUAGUGCAUGUGCAUGCAUGGAAUUGUGUGAUGUCAUUAGCAAUUUGUCUAUUCUUGUUGGGCUGCUUUGAUAUUUGCCCAUGUUGUUUGUCUUAAUUUUCAAUUUUUCAUUUUUCAGAAACUAAAAAAUUUGUGCAUCUGAAGUUGUUGUUUUUUUUUUUGAGUGAAAAGUAAGAGUGUCACUGACAUCACUUCUCUCCCAUUUAUGAUCCCCUAUUCCAGACCAUAUUCUCACAAUUUCAAUCUUGACAAAUUCAAAUGCAUAUCUCCUGUUGAGAUGUGUCUUUCUCACACAGUACAUCUAGUUUAUAUUGCAUAUCUCAUUCACAAGUUUAUAUUUAUUUUCUUUUGCAUUUCUGUAUGCUUCCAUAUACUAAAUCUCCUUUUAUACUUUUGUUUCCAUUAUCUUUAUCUUUUAUCCUUUGUAAUUCAUUUAUAACUGUUAUAGCAAUAUCAGCAAAAAUAUUCUAUUUUAGAAUUGUUGGUUUGAAUAUCAGAAUAAAAAAUUUGCCAUGAUGGUCAACACUGAUAUAAUCUUAUGGUCUUAGAUCCCCAGGCAUUACUUCAACUGGCCAUUCAAGUUGGAUACCAUAGACUCAGAUUUCUGCCAAGGUAAAACAUGAGUCCAAAAUGGGAAGACCAACAAACACUGUUUAAAUGGCAUACAGUUAUUGAAUGCACUUUGUAGUAUACUGAUUUUGUAUUAUAGUUUUAUUUACUUAAGUAUAUGUAAAUUGUGUCAUUGUUAAAUUUAUAGAUGUUUGUAUUUUAUUUAAUGUCAAAAUUAUUUUCAAUAAUUUAAUUGUGUGACUUGAAGAGAGAGGGAUCUUCGUAGAAUUUGAUUUUGAUAGACACUUGAUUUUGUUUAUUGGAUAAAAAAUUAAUAGCAAAAACGUAAAUUAAUAAAUUUUACAUUUUAAAAUUAGAUGUAGCUGUAAUGAAAACUAAAAUUUUAGUUGGUUCUAUUUAUAUUGAAUAUAGAUAGUCCUUGACUUACAAUUGUGGUGCAUUUGGUAAACCCUGUGAUGUAACGAAUGCAGUUAAUAUAAGUCUCUGCAUACUAGUCUGAUGUACAACAACAUUGAUUUUUAUCUAGUUUUUUAGCUUUGUGUUCAUGCUAGGAUGCUGUAUUUUGCUAAUGAAUAAUGACAGUCAGCAAUUAAUAGAUACAAUAACUCUCAAUUAAUUUCCCCAGAUAACUGAUUCUCUGAUAAUCUACAAAACACUCAAAAAAAAAUCAGAGUUAUGG